rnacentral:rRNA from 1 species
CAUCCUACGGGGCGCAGCAGUGAGGAAUAUUGGUCAAUGGGCGGGAGCCUGAACCAGCCAAGUCGCGUGAGGGAAGACGGUCCUAUGGAUUGUAAGCCUCUUUAGGCGGGGAGCAAUGCCGGGCACGUGUGCCCGGAGGGAGAGUACCCGCAGAAUAAGCAUCGGCUAACUCCGUGCCAGCAGCCGCGGUAAUACGGAGGAUGCAAGCGUUAUCCGGAUUUAUUGGGUUUAAAGGGUGCGUAGGCGGGACCUUAAGUCAGCGGUAAAAUUGCGGUGCUCAACGCCGUAGAGCCGUUGAAACUGGG